AUACGUAGGGGGCGAGCGUUGUCCGGAAUGAUUGGGCGUAAAGGGCGCGUAGGCGGCCCGGUAAGUCUGGAGUGAAAGUCCUGUUUUUAAGAUGGGAAUUGCUUUGGAUACUGUCGGGCUUGAGUGCAGGAGAGGGAAGUGGAAUUCCCAGUGUAGCGGUGAAAUGCGUAGAGAUUGGGAGGAACACCAGUGGCGAAGGCGACUUACUGGACUGUAACUGACGCUGAGGCGCGAAAGUGUGGGGAGCAAACAGGAUUAGAUACCCUGGUAGUCCACACUGUAAACGAUGAAUGCUAGGUGUAGGGGGUAUCGACCCCUUCUGUGCCGCAGUCAACACAAUAAGCAUUCCGCCUGGGGAGUACGGCCGCAAGGUUGAAACUCAAAGGAAUUGGCGGGG
rnacentral:rRNA from 1 species